GGUUCCCGCGCUUGCCGGGGGGGCAGUCCCCGGGACUCUACCCUCUGCUGGCCACCCGGAACGCCGCCUACGACGCAGUGGCGAGAAGCCCGGGUCCAGGAACUCCGGAUGGGGCUGGCUGUCGAAAGGCGGGAGUAGACUCGGUGGCAGCAUGGCAGAGGGCAGCACGGGAGACAGAACGACCAUCCAGGCUCAGGGAAGUUCUAGGUUUGCUCAAGGUCGCAAUGACACAGCCUGACGCUGCAAACCCAGAGGUUACAGGGGAUCAAGUUCUACCCUCAAGCUCAGGGCACAUGUCAAUGCAGCUGGAGGAUGACUUCGUCCAGGGCCUCGCUGGGCAGCGACCUCACCCAGCUGGCUGCUCAGAGCCAGCUCUGGCCCCUAUUUUCAGGAGCAGAGUCCUGGGGCUCAUCACCCCUGCUCAUCCCAUGGACUGUCCCCCCCACAUCACAGCAUCCAUGGGCAGGUAUCACGUGGGUCCCGCUCACUGAGGAAGCUGCCCUGCUCGGCACACAGCAUAUACUAGAGAAUAUUUGCUGAAUGAGUGAGCGAGUGAGUGAAACCACAGAAGCCGGAAUCCAUAUAAGAAGUGUCUUUAUGUGGGGUGGGGUCAGGGGAGCCACAGCACAGGCCCUGGAUGGUGGCACAGAGUGUGUCAGCGUGUCCAGCUGUCCUUCCAGCGCUGAGCCUCCUUCACCUGUGCUGCACUCACCUCCUGGAUCUUCAGCUCUGCAAAUAAUGCUGACUGUUCCUGGGAGCCACGUGGCAGGAGGGGACACCUGAGGAGGGACUGCCUGGACCCUGUGCCCUGGAGGACAGCCUGGCAGGUGGCUCUUAACACAUUCUGGGCUCCAGACAAGAGAGCCACAUGCCAUUUCUCAGGAAGAGUCUGGCGUUGCCCUGUCUUCUGGCUCCGAUGUCACGCUUCGAACAGGGGACUCUGUCCUGAGGUGGCGCACAUGUCUCCUCAAAGGGCUUCAUUUGCUGCAUCUCAUCUUUAAACCCAUCUGGAAUUUCCCUUGCAAAUAACAAAGAUCUUUUUCA